ensembl:lncRNA
UGCAGCUGUUCUUCCAGACUUAUUUCUCGUUGGAUAAGCUUGGGCAAAUCUGGUGAAAUGGUCUAUUACAACCAAGAUGUAUUCAUAACCACCCUUGCUUCUCUCUAAAUGGAGGUAGUCAAUGGAGACCAGUUCCAGUGGUGAAGUGCUGGUGAUACUUCACAUUGGUGCUCUGAUGUGAACGACAGGUUUCUUCUUUUUGAUACAGGGACAUCUUCUGGUCACAUGAGCUUCAAUGUCUCUUUUCAUAAAGGGCCAAUAGAACCUAUCUCUCGCCAAAGUAAGAACGCGCUCAGUUCCUACGUGACCCAUGUCAUCAUGGAGGUGCUUAAGAGCCACUGUGUGGUAUUUUGUGGGGAGGACGAGUUGUUGUCGCUGCUUUGUCUGCCUGUACAGCAGUUGGUUCUUGACGUGGAGUUUCCCCCAUUCAUGCAUGAGUUUUUGCAGCGUACCUGAAGCUCCUCGCCGAUUUUCAUUUGACAAGACUCUCUUUGUUUCCUUCAGUCUUAUUAGUGCCCCAAUUGAUGGGUCUUCCUUGGACAAUUCUUCGGUGCAUUCCACCACAUACCUGUCCAGUGCUCAUCAACUGGUCCGAUGCUUUGAGUGAGCUGGAAGAUCUCUUCGGUUGUCAGGCUGUGUAGUCCUUUCUUUAUUGUCCAAACAAAACUCUUUCUCUCGUUGUCAAACAUGCCGCACGUUGUUGGGACUGUCGAGUUGCACUCUCUCGGCUUGGAUUCCACUAGACUGGUUCUCUCACCCUGGCAGUCGCUCACUCGCAGUGCCCCUCGCUCCAGCAACGUGUCAUCACUCUGGUCCACGGUUCAUGGAUUACUGGAUCAGCAGUUGUCGGACCCCCGUAGUACUGCUGAUCCCGGACCAGCCCCCGAAGAUCUGUUACAGGUCUCAGGAUAAGAGAGCCUGAUGACAGACUUGUGCCUGAGAAAAAUAGUAAUUAAUGACACAGGCAGACGUAUGGCUUCUUCUGUCAGCGUCUUCUCAAGCAAUUGACAAUUUAUUUCACAAUUUAAGUGAAAGCAAGCAUAUCCAGUAUAUGUUCUGCACUAUAUGCAGAACAGCGCUGCUAGGAUCCU